AUGCCUAUGAAUUAUUCACUUGCUGUUGAACCAUUUGAUGUUUGGGGAUUUGAUUACAUGGGACCUUUUCCUUCCUCUAAUGGGUAUACACAUAUUUUGGUUGUUGUUGAUUAUGUUACUAAAUGGGUAGAAGCUAUUCCAACCAGUAGUGCUGAUCACAACACCUCUAUUAAAAUGCUUAAGGAAUUUAUUUUCCCAAGGUUUGGAGUCCCUAGGUAUUUAAUGACUGAUGGUGGUUCACACUUUAUUCAUGGUGAUUUUUGUAAAAUGCUUGCUAAGUAUGAUGUUAACCAUAGAAUUGCAUCACCUUAUCAUCCUCAGUCUAGUGGUCAAGUUGAACUUGGCAAUAGAGAAAUAAAAUUAAUUUUGCAAAAGGCUGUCAAUAGGUCCAGGAAGAAUUGGUCUAAGAAAUUAGAUGAUGCACUUUGGGCUUAUAGAACAGCAUAUAAAAAUCCUAUGGGUAUGUCUCCUUAUAAAAUGGUUUAUGGAAAAGCUUGUCAUUUGCCUCUUGAGUUAGAACAUCAAGCAUAUGGGCAGUUAAAGAGCUCAACUAUGAUUCCAAGCUUGCUGGUGAAAAGAGGUUAUUUGAUAUUAGCUCUUUAG
rnacentral:rRNA from 1 species